rnacentral:rRNA from 1 species
UGGAUGCCUUGGGGCAAAGAGCCGACGAAGGACGUGUGAGCCUGCGAUAAGCCUCGGUAAGCUGGCAAGAAGCGCUAUAGCCGGGGAUUUCCGAAUGGGGAAACCCAGUCCGUACGGACUACCACCUAGCCAAGUUCCUGCCUUUUGGCAGGAUAUUAACUAGGUUGGAGGGAACUCAGCGAAGUGAAACAUCUCAGUAGCUGGAGGAAAAUAAAGAGAAUUCGAUUCCCUUAGUAGCGGCGAGCGAAAGGGGACUAGCCCAAACCACAGCGUAAGCUGUGGGGUUGUAGGACCUGCGUAAAGAAGAUCAAAGAUAGGAGAAUGCUCUGGAGUGAGCAGCCAUAGUGGGUGAGAGCCCCGUAACCGAAAUC